AUCCUUUAGUUUGUGAGCAUGAUGAUGAUUGGGUGUUCAUGCCGUAUGCAUGAUGUGUGCCUCCCUCAAGCCCUGGCACAACAUGGGCACAUGGCCUGUCUGAUG